rnacentral:lncRNA from 10 species
GUGCAGCCAUGUUGCUGGAAAUGAUAGGAUUCCAUGAAUUUUGAUGGCAUAAAAGUAUUCCAUCCUGUCUGUGUACCAGAGAUUCUUCAUCCCUUCAUCUGUGGAUGGACAGGACUGGGCAGAGGACCUGAAGACAUGAGGUUGAUGCACAGGUCAAAGAGAAGAUUCUCACCAUCGCUGAUGCACACAAAAGUACAUCGGCUUCACCAUGUCGGCCAGGGUGGUCUCAAACUCCAGGACCUCAAGUCAUCCGCCUGCUUCGACCUCCCAGAGUGCUUGGAUUCCAGGAAUGAGCCACUGUGUCCAGCCCAGCGUUUUACUUUUCAAUCUUUGAUUCCUUUUGAGUUGCUUUCUGUACAUGGUGAGACAUAG